GUCCACGACGAUGAGGACUGGUUCGCGUUUUGCCUCCAGUUCCAACUCAUGGUCACGCUGGAUAUGCCCCAUGACACCGUUUGCGUCAAUCUGAAGGUUAGGGAGGACAGGGACGAGGUGCGGGCACAAAUGCAGGUCCUCUCUCUCUCGGUUGGAUCAGAAACUUCUCAAUUUUACACGCAGAAUCGACCUGAUGGUUUCUUCUAAAUGUUUAUUAAAACCUAAGAAGCUUUCUUUGUUUUGUCAUAAUCAGGUGUUGAAUGAUUCUCAAUAUCGAUCAACAAUCUAGUAGGUGGCACAUAUGGGUCCCUCACCAUGCUGUUGACACGAUGGCCCUACCGAAUCAAGGACGAGCCAUGAGAUAACAUAGCCGGCGGCUCUCGUCACGCACACCGGUUGGUCCUGCUCCGGCGAGCCGCCGCCACCGUGCCUGUUUAGAUCUCACUAUUUAGUUUAUAGGUGACCCGUGCCUCCUUUUAUCUCCCUUGCAUUAUUGAUGUGGGUAACUUCCACUCUAGUCCUAACCUUCUCUUUUGGUUUUCCGGUAGGUUCUUUGUCGGGCAGUGUAGAACUGAAAUAGUUGAAGAGAACAUCAUGAGGCGAUGCUAGAAGCUUGCUUGUGUGCUAGCCGUUGUUGUGAUUUUAAGAAAUUUACAAGUUCACUCAAUGGAAAAAAGAGGGACUAUGGUGAGAGGUGACUAAAUCUACAAUGUUGAAUCCCUUUACCAUUAGUACUCCCUCCAUUUUUAUAUACAAGGCCACAAACCCACAUUACACGUACCAACGCAAAAGUUAAUGCCUUCCAAGUCAACGUUGCAAGACAACUUGUCUCCUUGUUUACCGUGUAAAUUAAUGUGUAUUUCUCUGUCUCAUGCAUAUCAAGCCAAUGAUCUCACUCCUGCAUGCAUGCAAGGGAUAAUUAAUGUCCUGCUUUGCUAGUACUACGAGGCAAACACCAUUAAUGUUGCAUCAAUUAGUGUUAGUGGCCUUGUAUAUAUGCAAAUUGUAAUUUUUAUAGUGGCCUUGCAUAUAAAAAUGGAGGGAGUAGUUUAAAUAGCAACCAAAAUUUCUUUUCAUGAGACGGUGAUUAAUUAGUCUAAAGUUGUUCUACAUAUUAGUAAAAUGUUGUAUUUGCACUAGAAAGUUCAAUUUCUUUGCUAAACCAUGGACCGGUCAAUGUUGAAUUAGCUGAGAAUGUUUUUGAAGUUCGUUGAAUCACUUGUGUGAAUAUUUAUACCAACUAUGAGUGUUUCAUAAUCGUGGGAAUUUCUUUACCAUCUUUCAAGUACAUCGAAAUCUCCUAGGAUGGCAAACAAGAAGUCGACCAAAAUAUCCGGCAACGGUGGUGAGCAUAGUGGUGACAUGUGAUUUCCAUGCCUAUUUGUCGGCUCUACAAAAUGCACAUUUGAUUUCUCCAUAUUCAUUUGUUGAUUUCUACUUUCAUGAGAAGUUGAGAACUACUUGAGGCAGAGUAUUUACAUCCUCAAUUUCAUCCUUCACUCCUUGUAGGUGUACUUACCCUUCUCUUGCUGCUGUUGCAUCUAGAUAUGCAAUCUAUGCUAGCUUUGUGGAAGUGGAGAUGGAAAGGACGUUGUCAUUAGUCAAGUCAUGUGAGCGGGGAAGGGGCCAAAAAAGCGAAGCUAAAAACAGCUAACAGGCCCAUCAGAAUAUUGUAAGGAUGAAACUUUUCAUCCUUGCACAUCAUGUGAUAAUUGAAUACUAUAAUCACAUGACCUAUUUACUCGUUAUGAUCUCAUAUACAUAUUUUUGGGACAUUUUUUGUUCCUUUUCUUUCUUCACGGGCCAUCUUUAGUGCUUUUCCAGUUAAUGGUAUCUUUGGGCCGAAAUAUAAUAGUUGCUAAUGCCUUUGGAUCGUUUACUUUGUUGGUUUUAUGAUUCUUGGAGGAUUCAUCACAACUAAAGGUUGAUUCGUCAGAAAUAUUUUCAGCUACUUGAGGUUACAUUUUGAACCGAUACAUCUAACAUAUUGCAACCUUUUUCUGACUAUUUAAAAGAAAGCUCAGUCUGUUGGUUUUGGUGUUAUGGGAUCUCUCCUAUUAUAUAUGCACAAAAUGCUAUAUCAGUAUAUGAAUUCCAUGGGCAUUCUUGGUCCAAGGUGAACUUGAUUUUAAUAAUUCUCCGAAGAAGUUGUGCACUUUUCAUUUUGUCUCAACCAAUGUCGCUUUCAUCUUAAUCAUAGACAUGCGAGCCUAAUUUUUCUUGCAUAUUUUACUUGGUGGCUAACUCAAACUUAUUUGUUGUCAUUUUUGUAUUCAUCAUCACGAACAAGACCAGAUCACUGGAGUAGUCUCUGUCAAAACAUAUAACAAAUAAUAAGCCCUAUCACUACCUCUAGAGAACAAACAAGAGUUAAAUGAUGUAGAUUAUGAAUGAUGAACUCGUAAUGGGCGUGGAGGGCAGGUCUGCAAGGUGUUUUGGUAACCCUUUCUUGGUGUGAACAAUAUGGUCUGGUAUUGUUGUUAGUUGUCAAUCAAUCCAGGAUUUGACCUUGUUUGCAAAUUCAAGUGUUUUAUUAGAAGGAUGACGCAAAUCCAACACAAGGAACAUGUUAAUAUGCAUACUAUUGUUCUUCCUGAGUCAUUUGUGCAACAUAUAUUUUUCACCAUAGUAAUUGAAAUUUGACUCGUGUGUAGGUUGAUUUUGGUGUGUUCGAAGUUCUACAACUAUCAAAGGCUGCUCGUUCUGAAAGUUAUUCAGAAACAUGCACGCUGUGACCAACUUUUUUUUCAGAUAUCUCUAUUUUUCAAUGGUUUGUGCUGAUUCACAAAGGUGCAAUGAAAUUAUCUAAAAUCAUUUUAUUUUGGCUUCCCAUUGACUACUUUGAAGAGUGGGGCAUCCUGAUGUUUUCCUUUGACGUGCACAGUAUCCCUAUGUUUUUACACUACCAUUUUUUCAUUCUUUUUUAGUGUAUAUGAUGCACUUCUUUUGUCUAAGUUAACUCUUCAUUCUUCUCCUAUGCUCUUCCAGAUUGAUUACUCUUUAGACACUGAAUUAAAUGUUUCACAUUUUAUUGGAGAAUCAUAUAUCUAUGCUAGAUUAUAAUAUUUAGUUCAGAAUUGUGUAUCCACCUUUUUACUGAAUUUUACAAAUGUUUUUUGCUUGUUUAGUUUACCCAGCAUUAGGGCUCUCUCACAUUUUUGUCCUGAUUUUUAUAAAUAUCUGCUGGGGAUUCAUAUUUUUUCGUUAUUUCUUCCAUUUGUUUUGAAAGAGAAUAUCAGUUUUGAAUAGUCAUUAUCUUUGACCAUUAUAUUGUGAGUCGAUACAAUAAUUUCUCAUUUCAGGUCCACUCCCUCCUCGAAGAAUAUCUGAUUCAUUAUUCGUUUCGUGAAUUCUUUAUUCCAGCUCCUGCGGAGGAGGAUUAUGCACCCUUAUUAUCAUUGCGAAGAAGGCAAUAGAAGGCUAUGGAUUUUCUAGGGUGGGCACAUUUGCUGUCUGGUCUUCUGAUGCAACACUGUGAUUCACCUUUUGCUCUCUGGUUCUUGAAUUUUGGCUUUUGGCUGCUCGUGUAGUAUCGUCCUAAAUAAGUAGAUGAGUUCGAUCCAUCGUGUCCAUUUGUCCUUUGGGUAAAUAAAUGAAGAAAACUACAAAAAUAUAUAUUUUGUGCUGUGUGAUUUAUCUUGUAAGACUGUUACCUUUCUAUUAAGACACAUAUUACCUUGCUUUGCUUGCUCUGCUUUCUGAGUGAAUGCUCUGCUGCUGGUGCAGUUUAAUUAUGUCUAAUUUUUUAGAACUGGCAUUUAUUUAGACUGUAUAUACAUGUUUACAAAUUUAUCAGCUAGAUUAGUGUGUCGAGUCACGCAAAGGAGACGUGCCCUGGGUGCGUCCCUGUCACUAGUAUCUUAUUUUUUAUUUUUAUUUUUAUUUAUAAAGUUUACACUUGGUGGUCGUCCGUUCACUCCUAUGUACCACCUCUUUCUCUCAGCUCUGUCAAGCGAACCACGCGUAAGAACCUAC
rnacentral:lncRNA from 1 species